AACGGUCCAAAAUUUACAUCUUUGUCUGAGGGGGAGAAAGGGUUGAUGAAUGACGCCAGAAGUCCAAAGGAAAUGCACAAUUCUAUUCAAUUAGAUAGGCGCGCAGAGCAGGCAUGAAGAACCCUAAUUCAAGUGAAUAGCAAAAGCAACACCCCAAAAACCCAUUUGAACUGAAACCCCAAGAAAAGAAUGCAAUUUUUAUCAGCAAGAACCCAAAUUUAAUCGAGAGAAACGAGCAAAAUCAAGAGCAAGGAAAAAUUCCGGAGGUGGGGGGGAUGGGGGAAGAAUAAGAGAGGGGAGGAAACCUUAAGGAGCUUGAUGAGGGAGUCUUUAGUAGAGGGAGGAUUGUCGAGCUUGGAUCCAAGCUCUUUGAGCUGCAGCAGAAGUUUUUGAUUAGCCAUUUCCGUAAUUUUCACAACUGCUUCACCAGCUGCAUAACCACUGCUACUUGAGCACCACACCUCACUGCUGCUCUUACUGACAGUCAGUAAGAAGAAGAAAACAAAAUAAAACGUUUCCCAGGGCUUUGUGUUGGUGAGAGAAGCUCUUCCCAGAGACAGAAGAGAAAAUGGGGUGGGGGGGGGUUCGAAGUUUAUUGGUAUUUCGCUUCUGCGUUUGUGGGUUCGAACAAAGAAGCGAAACAAAUGGGGUUGGCCACUCUCUCUAUCCCCAUUUAUAUUUUUUA
rnacentral:lncRNA from 1 species